UAGGUAGUUUCAUGUUGUUGGGAUUGGCUUCCUGGCUCGACAACAAGAAACUGCCUUGA
ensembl:miRNA mir196a-1 microRNA 196a-1